AGAGUUUGAUCCUGGCUCAGGACGAACGCUGGCGGCGUGCUUAACACAUGCAAGUCGAACGGAAAGGCCCUUUCGGGGGUACUCGAGUGGCGAACGGGUGAGUAACACGUGGGUGAUCUGCCCUGCACUUUGGGAUAAGCCUGGGAAACUGGGUCUAAUACCGAAUACACCCUGCUGGUCGCGUGGCCUGGUGGGGGAAAGCUUUUGCGGUGUGGGAUGGGCCCGCGGCCUAUCAGCUUGUUGGUGGGGUGAUGGCCUACCAAGGCGACGACGGGUAGCCGGCCUGAGAGGGUGUCCGGCCACACUGGGACUGAGAUACGGCCCAGACUCCUACGGGAGGCAGCAGUGGGGAAUAUUGCACGAUGGGCGCAAGCCUGAUGCAGCGACGCCGCGUGGGGGAUGACGGCCUUCGGGUUGUAAACCUCUUUCACCAUCGGCGAAGCCCAUGAUUUUUGUUGUGGGUGACGGUAGGUGGAGAAGAAGCACCGGCCAACUACGUGCCAGCAGCCGCGGUAAUACGUAGGGUGCGAGCGUUGUCCGGAAUUACUGGGCGUAAAGAGCUCGUAGGUGGUUUGUCGCGUUGUCCGUGAAAUUCCCUGGCUUAACUGGGGGCGUGCGGGCGAUACGGGCAGACUAGAGUACUGCAGGGGAGACUGGAAUUCCUGGUGUAGCGGUGGAAUGCGCAGAUAUCAGGAGGAACACCGGUGGCGAAGGCAGAUAACUGGCUCAUUCCUGACACUAAGGCACGAAAGCGUGGGGAGCAAACGGGAUUAGAUACCCUGGUAGUCC
rnacentral:rRNA from 1 species